GAGCCAGCGAGCGUUCCGAAGCGGGUGGAGGCGCACAGAGGCGGAGUUUCGCGGCCACAGCGCCGUUCAACUUAUCAGAGACCUCCCACGUCUGGUUCUCCGCCUCCAACGGUUGGAACAGCCAAAAAUUCUCGAGAUUGUAUGAAAAACUCCGCAAUUGACGCAGUGCGUUGGGUGAAUUAUUUUUAUUGAGGCUGGAGAAAAAAGCAACAGUUACAUAAAUAAGGAUGUCUGACUAUUCAUGGUUGUUGAUCUGUUGGGGCGUUAUUUGUUAUGCUUCCAGCAGCAAGUUUGUAAAGAGGUAGAGUGGUAUGAAACAAAUAUUGUAUUUAGAAUAAUGUUCUGAACGACAAUAUUAUUUAUUGGUCAAAAGUUUUACAAGCUGUUGUUGGAAUUUCCGGGUAGGGUGACUUCAGUAUAAAUUAAGUUCUCCUAGAGAGUACCAGUUUGUCAAUGAGAUUAAAAUAUAUAUAUUUACUCCUAAGUAUCAAUCAGUCAGUAUAAUUUAGAUAAAAUUAGAUUCAGCAUAAUUAAUAAUAAAAUUGCAUCUGUCCAGCUGUCCUGAGGUGAAAACUCCUCAGAGCCUGUUCUGUUCGGUAUUCUUCAACCUCCACCACCACAAAACAUGUACAUAUUGGUGUGCUCUACUUUGUAAAGAAUUGGUCCAACACGAGUCAUCAAGUGCAAUUAUGUAACCAGUGCUCAGGUGGCGUUUAAGAAAUCAUAUUAGGCAACCGUGUUUUGCACGAUAAUCAUUACCUACAAUCCUACUGGAAUUAAGGUCGCCGAAAGAAUCGCUGAACUGAUUGGAAAACGCCUGGUCAGGAUUUCAUAUGCCCGGUCUGACCAUAGAGUUGCCGUUUCCACUGUGCCGGUUUCAAUCAGCGCGCACGCACAGCAUCGGGGAUGUUCAUUUAACAGGAUAGAGGGGAAGGAAAAACGGUCGCCAUAUUUUGGGCGGAGACUGCGAUACAUUUGCCUGUUUCAUUGGAUGAAAAGAUCGAUCUGGUGCAUCAGCUGCACGCGCCUGCCCAGUGAACAUUCUCUGAUACCUUGCGACUCGUUUCACUUAGCAGUAGUACUGUACCGAGUACCAUUUCAACCCCCUAAAAGCGAUACUCAUUGCUUUCCAGAAAAAGUGUACGCUUCGAGUACCUUUAUUGGAAGAAAACUGUACUGAAACAUUUUCCAGGCAGUUCUGGAAUAGUCUUAUGUAAUUAUGGGAGGUAGGAUUCAGAGGAACAACGAUGCAUUUAUUCUGGUGAAGUUCCUGAGAGCCAGUUUCUUUUCACGGUGUCGCUAUCGGAAUCGAAAUCUCCGGGCAAAUAAACAGCGCACAAGUUCCCAGCCAUUGAUCGUGAGCAAUAUAAAUACUUACUUCCUACGUGAUGUAGGUACGAUUCUGAGAAAUAGGCUUGUCAUAUAUGUAUACAUGCCACUGAUUACGUAAUACGAGGCUACGUGAUUUAGGCAGGCUGCUGAUAACGACUGUGAAAUAGAAGAGCUUACGUUUCUUCCAUCGACCAUCUAAUCAACCAAAAUUCUUGCUUCGUUUUAAAUUGCGUACCAUUGACCAUAUAAUACUUAAUCUGUUAACAAUAUAACAU